GUAACACGUAGUCAAACAUAACCAAAGGACGUGGAUAAACUCGGGAAANCUGACGGCUAAAACGACGAUACGUUCAAGAUACCUGGAAUGGUUAUAUGAUCAAAAUCUAUAUGGCCUUUGGAUUGGACUGCGUCCGAUCAGGCUGUAUGGUGAGGUAAUGGACCACCAAACCUAUAACCGGUACAGGGCUCUGAGAGGAGGAGCCCGGAGAUGGGUACUGAGAUAAGAGACCCAGGACCUAUGGGGCGCAGCAGGCAGACGAAACCUCUGCAAUAGGCGAAAGCUUGACAGGGUUACUCUAGAGUGACUUAUCGAUAUAAGAAAGUACUUAAAGACAACUCUAAACAAUGGUGUAGGAAUAAGGGGUGGAGACAAGUAUGGUGACAG
rnacentral:rRNA from 1 species